GACGAGGAGCUUGCUCCUCUGACGUUAGCGGCNCACNGGNGAGUAACACGUGGAUAACCUACCUAUAAGACUGGGAUAACUUCGGGAAACCGGAGCUAAUACCGGAUAAUAUAUUGAACCGCAUGGUUCAAUAGUGAAAGACGGUUUUGCUGUCACUUAUAGAUGGAUCCGCGCCGCAUUAGCUAGUUGGUAAGGUAACGGCUUACCAAGGCAACGAUGCGUANCCGACCUGAGAGGGUGAUCGGCCACACUGGAACUGAGACACGGUCCAGACUCCUACGGGAGGCAGCAGUAGGGAAUCUUCCGCAAUGGGCGAAAGCCUGACGGAGCAACGCCGCGUGAGUGAUGAAGGUCUUCGGAUCGUAAAACUCUGUUAUUAGGGAAGAACAAAUGUGUAAGUAACUAUGCACGUCUUGACGGUACCUAAUCAGAAAGCCACGGCUAACUACGUGCCAGCAGCCGCGGUAAUACGUAGGUGGCAAGCGUUAUCCGGAAUUAUUGGGCGUAAAGCGCGCGUAGGCGGUUUUUUAAGUCUGAUGUGAAAGCCCACGGCUCAACCGUGGAGGGUCAUUGGAAACUGGAAAACUUGAGUGCAGAAGAGGAAAGUGGAAUUCCAUGUGUAGCGGUGAAAUGCGCAGAGAUAUGGAGGAACACCAGUGGCGAAGGCGACUUUCUGGUCUGUAACUGACGCUGAUGUGCGAAAGCGUGGG
rnacentral:rRNA from 1 species